ensembl:lncRNA
AAUGGUCAGCAUGGCUUCAUUCAAAUAACAUACUUAUUACUUAUGUGUAUUGAGUGUUUGAUACAAAGGAGGUGCUUUGCAAAUUAGCUCAUCGGAUCUGUCAACAUUUGUAAAAGGUUGUUAAACCAUUUCACAAAGGAGAAAGGAAUCAGCGACCUUCAUGGAUGUGGUUGUGGGCUUCACCCAGGAAGACUAGGCCUUGGUGGGCGCAUCCCGGCAAAAACUACACAGAGAUGUGAUGCUGGAGAACUUCAGUCAUCUUCUCUCUGUUGUUGAGUCUGUCAAUAAGGAGUCAUUUACUCAACAAGUAUCCAGAGAAGUUUCCACAUAUCAUGCUCACCUCUCAGCUCUCAUUUUUAUUCUUUCAUAACACAACUACGAGAAGGUAAUUCUGUUUAUUUAUUGAUUUAGUAACAUGUAAUUUGUCCCUUCACUAGAAUAUAGUCUUCUUGACCACAGUUUCAUGUCUUUGUUGCUGCUCUAUUGCCAACACCCAGAACAGUGCUGCAAACUCAAUGCAUUUUUUUUAAUAACUAAACAAUAAGAUUAAACAAUUCCUAAGUAAUUAUUCUGUUCUAAGCAGCAAUACCAGAGUUUGAGACCACAGCAGAAAAAACACCAGGCAACAUAAACUUAGGUUAUUCUGGAUUAACUAGAAACAUUUAAUUCCUCCCUUGUUGAAAACACUGGGAAUCUCUAUUCUGUGAGCUUGCUCGUGCACGUCGACAACGAGUUCCUCAAUUCUCUGGGCUUAGUGUCAUGGUGAUCCUCCUGCUGUGCUCAAGGACUUACAAGGUUUUCUUCAAUGCUCACUUAGUUGUUCAUUGAGAUUCUGUCCUUGACUUGAGGAAUAUGUAUGGUUCUUAAAACACAGUUCAAAAUUCAAGUGGCUUUUCCCCAUGAACAGGGUGGCAGCUCUGCAAAUAAGACACAAUUUCUCAUUGGAGCAAGGAGAGGAAUUGUGGAGGGAAGAAAGGGGAUUCCCACAAGGCCUGAGGCUGGGUAAGCUCCAGGCAUGUGUGUUCACUGUGAGGAGAAGCCUAGUCAGUGAGGGAUCAGGACCUUGGUAAUGCCAACUGCAGAUUUCCUUAAGUCAAUGGUCUUUUCAGGAAAGUAUGAGAAUCCAGUGGAGAAAAAUUCUCAAUGUUGUCAUUAUUCCUAGCAUUUAUCAAUGUCUUUUAUUUAUAGUUUAUGUCCUCUUUGGAUUGAAAGUUUCAUAUUGUGAACUUUGCCCUCAACCCUUUCCCUUGAUGAUUUCUUCUCUCAUAACCUUACCAAAAUCCGUCGUAAUUUUUUCUUCAACCUUGAAAACAUUUUGUAAUUGACAGUGCCCUAAAACAUGUUUCUGCGCACUAGUGCAUUGCUCCAUUUCACAUUCUUGCCCUGUGUAAGGGUCAAUAUUUGCCUUGCAUACUGUACAACAUUUUGGUUCCCUAAUGCCUCUUGAGAAAUUUAUUUUUUAAUUUACCUUAGGCAGGAGAAGUAACCUUUAAAACCAAGAAAUGGUAUCUAUACCAGAUAUCUGCAGGAAGGAUCCAUCUAACUGCACAGUGAUGGUAAGUUUCUUGGGUUGAACCCUGGUCCCCUACAUUAGAGGCCUGGGAACGGGAUGAUUAUUAGCAAAGCACAAUAACGGGACUAUAAUUUGAGUUGGGAGUAAGUCCCAUCCCAGCAGAAAGUUUUGCAUAAUUUUAAUUUAGGAAAGAUAUUGACCUGAGCUCAGAGCUAUAACCUGAGUUCUUAUAAAAGGACAAUUGUAUAAACAUAGCUCAAAUACCUAGUCUAUGAAACACAAUGAAGUUACAAAAUUAACCAACUGUACAGUUGAGGUGUUAUAAAGAAGAAAUCUCUGGGCUGGUCCAGUGGCACAACAGUUAAGUUCACACAUUCUGCUUCAGUGGCCCAGGGGUUUGCCAGUUUGGAUCCCAGGUGCAGACAUGGGACCACUUGGCAGGCCAUUCUGUGGCAGACAUCUCACAUAUAAAGUAGAGGAAGAUGGGCACAGAUGUUAGCUCAAGGCCAGUCUUCCUUAGCAAAAAGAGGAGGAUUGGCAGCAGACGUUAGCUCAGGGCUAAUCUUCCUCAAAAAAAAAAAAGAAGAAAUCUCAAUGCAUGCAAGAAAGUAACACACCGUGCGUAUGUAACUUACAAGGGGAAGGUUUUUAACCAGGAACUAUGGCUGACUGAUUAGCCUAGAAUUCAUACAUAGAGAAAAGAAUGAAUGAAUGUCUGUGGGCAGUCUUUUAAGUGCCUCUUAUCUCCUCCAAUAAGCAGAAAUCUCACAUUGAGGGAAGAACCCAUUGGAUAGAACUAGUGUGAGAUGCUUUUACUCACAGGUUCACAGUGACUUAACAUAUGUGAAGUCACGUGGGCCCAGGAGGCCCACCUCCAUAAGCUGUUGGACCAACUGAGGCAGCAAAGCCAUGAGGAAACACUGAAGUUUCACCUGAAAAAUACCCAAGAUAUUCUCCAGAACAUGGAAUACUGGUAGGCAGACCAGAUUCAAAAAGACAGAAGGGGAUGGCCUGAAAUCCAUAUUUAAGGUCAGAUGAAGCCUGCUUAGGAGCCCAGGGGUGUGCCCAGGAAGUUCAAGAUGAAAAUCUUGCCUCUAACUUCGGAGAAUGUUGUGGACUUUGCUGCUCUGCUCUCAGGCAGCUCAGAAGGUUCCAGGGAGAAUUUUGACCUGAAUAGCUUAUGGAGGGAGGUUUCAAGACCAUGUAAUUUAAACAAGUGCAGUCAAAGUGAUGGCUGUAAGUCAAGAAAGCAGAGCUCCUGGAGUGGUGAGAUGGGAAAGAUGGAGGGUGGGGAGGGUGUGGGUGCACCAACGAUGCACUCCUCGGGUCCCCAAGAUGCCAGAUGUCUGGGAAGCAGCUGCCACCAUGGCCUUUACUACUGCAGCCACCGCCAGUGCCAUUUCCCCAACCACCAAGAACACCACCGCAGUAGGCUGGACAGGGAAGUAAGCAGUAGGUUCUAAGUUCACCACUGUGGUCUCAAAUCUGGACCUGGGCAGUGGUGGGGCAAGAGGAAUUACCCUGAGGCAGGGGCAUGAAGAUCCCUGAGCUCCUCUCCAAGUGUCAUUUGUGGCAUUUGCAUCUGUUGAGCUGAGGUGGAUGCCUGCCCCAGAGGUGACCAGAGGCAGCCCAGUCCACAUGCCACACCACAGGGGCCCCACCCCACCCAAUGCUUCCCAGGAGACUGUGGGACACCACCCCCACUGCUGGUGCCAUUGCACUGGCUGCUGCCAAGUUCAUCAUCCUCCCUCGGGAGCCCAGCCUGGGCUGGGAGGGGCCUGAAUGUGGAGGGGCUGAGACACAGUUUGGGCACACUAGCUGCCUGGCAGCCUCCUGCUCCAACCAGGCUGAUGACAACUGCCAGGGUACUUUCAGGUCUCAGGGCCCUUUUCCCCAUCCUAGACCCCCAACAGAGUCUCAUCCCAGGAAGCUGGAAUGGCCGGCCUCCUUCAGACAAAGCAGGCUCCCCCAUAGGAUACGCGUCUCCCUGUGCCCUUCCACAGUGCACCCAGGGAGAUGGUCAGGAGAGGGCCUGCCUUGGCCCUUAGUCAUGGAUUUCUCUCAAGAGUAGAGCUCUGGGCAGCAGGAGGGCAUGGCUUCCGUGACUCCAGAGUGAAGGGAGGUGCCUGCCCAUGGAAGGGCAGGCCUGCCAAUUUCCCCACUAUUUCCGCAGGGGGCAUGGCAUGCCUAGUGUGGCCACACUCCUUUCGCUAGCAUUCCUGAACCCUGUUGACUUGUCAAACAUUUACUGCUCCCUGUGUUGAAAAGUUCCUUCCUGAUGGGAGGCCUUGUUUUGUCAAACAAUAAAGGAGGCCCCGGAUGAUCAGCACGCAGGAUGGAUAGCCUUGCCCUGCCCCCUGCUCCCUGAUGGGCAAAGAGGGGCAAAAAGCCAUUUUCAAAGGAUGGGAGUGGGACCUGAGCAGAAGGGGUGUGAGACACACUUGUAGAAGUUGGGAAUCCCAGUUCCCCUGCAGCUGCACCUGGCCACCACCAGUGGGCUCCCCCACACUUUCAGUGCCACAAGGACCUGUCCCCUCAGCAAGCCCGAGGGCCUUUCUGAGUCCAGUCACUUUUGCUGUGCAGGCGUAGAUAGAAAGAAGGGUUUUCCCUCCAUGGAGAGGGGCUUCCAGAGUGCGAACAGUCAAUAGGACCCAUGGGAUUUGUCAAUCAGUUGGGGAGGGGCGGGUGCACCCACCAUCCUCUCUUCAUUUCCCUGAGAUCCUAGAUCUGGUGAGAGUCACUUGAGGUUUCCGUGAGAUUAGUGGAGUUCUCACUGUGUUGUAGGAGGUCUUGUUGAGGUAAUGGUUGGCCUCUGUGAUAUCAGGUCAUGGUGAGGUCAGAGGGGAGUCUCUAUAAUGUCACUGGAGGUUUCUUGGAGGUCAUGGGAGUUCUUUGUGUGUUCAGGGAGUUCUCUGUGAAGUCAGGAAACAUCACUUUGAGGGUAGGGGGUGUCACUAUGAGGUCAGUGGAGGUCUCUGGGUGAUCAGAGAAGUCUCUGUGUGGUCAGGGGGAGUGUCUAAAGUGUCAGGGGAUGUCUCUGUUAGGUCAGCUGAGGUCUCUGUCAGUGAAGUCAUAAGGGGCCCCUAUGAGGUCAGAGGUGGUCUCUGUGAGGUCACGGUGUUACCAAAAUCAAAGUGUGUUGAAUCCUUGCGAGUUAAGUUGGCAUGAGCUAUUUGGGGACAUAAAUCUUGCCUCGUUUGUUUGUCAUCCAGCCCUUGACUAUUGGGGACCAGUGAUAAUGCUGUGUAGUAGCUUCCCUCACUUCAUCUGUAGUAAGUUCAGAGAAAGUGUCAGUUCACACAAGGGCAGCGUUGGAAUUAAUGGUAACUGGAGAAGCUCUCCUGAUGGAGUGGCCAUUUUUGCAGCUGCAGCUACCAUGUUAUGUCCUUUUGUGGAAUCUGAUUCCUCAUUUUGAUGGGCUUUACCAUGGAUCCCAGCUACUUUCUUGGAGAUCUGUACCACUUCUAGCAGUUUAAGCAUCUCCAGCCCAUGUCCAUGGUUCACUCUGGGGACCUCUGUGGCUGGAGCUCACUUCUGGGCAAGCAUGGCUUAAAAACACAUUGGAAUCAAGGAGAAGGUCAGGUAGGGUUUAAGAUAUGACAGGAUUUUAAAGAAAUCUGAGGGGAAUCUAGCAUCAUAUCUUGAUAGUGCAGUGUUGUAUUUUGGGAUAGCUGGAGGCGUCCUCAGUAACUGGUAGACUAGAGAAUUGAUGUAGGGGUCCAAACCCUCAUAGGUAAGCCCAUAGCCAAUUUUUUGGAUUUCUUGAUUAACAGGCAGGUGGCAGCUACAGCUCUCCAGCAUGGGGGCUAUCCUUUCACCACGGUGUGUAACUUACCCCAUUCAAAAGGGUCCGUUUAUGGUCCCUGUAGUUUAUCAGAGAGGCUAAUACUCAUGUAUACAAUGUUAAGAAUCCAAAGAAGGAAAAACCCAGUCAUCCCUUUAGACACCUUAUACCCCUUACUGGCUAAGAAGUUGAACAUACUUAAGUCAAUUCUGACUCUACCAGGGGACAAAAUCAGAUCUGACAGGAUUACCAUUCACCUUGAACACAACUUAGAUGCCAACUGUAAGUUCAGGUUGUCAGCUGUGCUCCUGACCAACCAGCAAGAAGAGCACACGUUCCCAGAAAACCCUCCUUGGGUUUGAAUGCUCUGAUAGAGAGGCUCACAAACUCAGGAAACGUUUCACAUAUUAAGAGCAGGAUGGAAGAGGUGCAUAGAGCAAAACGUGUGGCAGGGAGGAGGAGCUCCCAGAGCCUCUCUGGGUGUACCACUCUCCCCGAACCUCCACGUGUUCAACAAUGCAAAAGCUGUCUGAAGACCAUCCUUUUGGGGUUGAAUGGAGACUUCAUCACCCAGGCAUAGUCGAUUCAAACAUUGGCUAUGGGCAAUUCAAGAAGAACUUCAGCAAAUCUCCCCCACCCCCACAGCUCAAAACCACCACAGGGGUGGGGUGGAGGAGGGGAUGGGCGUGAAACUUCUCACCUGCAAAUCACACAAUUGGUUUCC